rnacentral:lncRNA from 1 species
AAUGAUUUUUAUUUUUUCCAUUAGAGUUGGUUUACAGUGUUCUGUCAAUUUUCCACUGUACUAAAAAAUUUUACAGAGUGCAAGAAGGCACAGAUAAAAAUACAAUGGACAAGUUCCUGUUGUAGCUAAGAGGGUUAAGAACAUGACAUUGUCUCUGUGAGGAUGCAGGUUUGAUCCCUGGCCUCCCUCUGUGGCUUAAGAAUCCAGCGUUGCCACAAGCUGUGGCAUAGGUUACAGAUGUAGCUUGGGUCUGGCAUUGCUGUGGCUGCAGCUACAGCUCCAAUUUGAUCUCUACCCUGGGAACUUGCAUAUGCUGCAUGUAGGGCUGUAAAAAGAAAAAAUAUAAAUAUACCGGAAAUAUUAGUAUCAACCAGGAGAGUCCCAGGCAAACUAGGAGAUGCAGUCAGGGAAGGGGAAAGUGGGUACUAUGCUUCAUCCUUACGGCAGCAAAUAUUAUUUCCAAAGCCAACUGAUUUCCAUUAGUCUAGGAUGGAUAACAAGUUGAUUAAUAUCUAUAGGUAUAAACCUUAAAAGAUAAGGAGUUAAAUUCAUAUUAACUGCAAAUGGAAAUACGUUGCUUAUUUAAAAUAACAUAAAACCUUCGCCUUAGCUAUUCUUCCAGUCAUCAGAACAAGUAUUUUACAAAUCAAUUUCUCCUCCUGCGCUAUUCCAGGAUCACAGACAAACACUGUGAAGCUCAGAUAGGAAUUAAACAAUUCAGUGACAGCAAUACAUAGUCUAAGCCAUGGAUCAAUCUACACAUAGUAUCACUGACCUUUGGUUUUCCCCUUCAAGUUAUUUUAUUUAUUUGUUUGUUUAUUUGCUUACUUAUUUAUUUAUUUUGUCUUUUUAGGGCUUCACCCAUGGCUAGGGUUUGAAUCGGAGCUGUAGCUGCUGGCCUAGGCUAGACACAGCAACACAGGAUCCUAGCCUCAUCUGUGACCUACACCACAGCCCACACCAAUGCCGGAUCCUUAACCCACUGAGCAAGACCAAGGAUUAAACCUGUAUCCUCAUGGAUACUAGUUGUGUUCCUUACCACUGAGCCACAAUGGGAACUCCCACCCUUCAGGUAACCUUAGAGUGUAUGGUUUGUUUGUUUGUUUGUUUUUUGUCUUUUUGCCUUUUCUGGGGCCGCUCCCACAGCAUACGGAGGUUCCCAGGCUAGGGGUCUAAUGGAAGCUACAGUUGCUAGCCUAGUCCAGAGCCACAGCAAUGCCAGAUCCAAGCUACAUUUGUGACCUACACUACAGCUCAUGGCAACGAUGGAUCCUUAACCUACUGAGCAGGGCCAGGGAUCAAACCCGCAAUUUCAUGGUUCCUAGCCGGAUUCGUUUCCCCUGCACCAUGAUGGAAACUCCUCUUCUAACAUUUUUAUAUUAUUAGCUCAUUUAAUACAUUGUAUUUCCAUUGUCACCUGCUAACCUAGGCUACUUUCCAUGUACAAUUUGGAAUCUCCUAGCCAACUGUUUCUCUGUGCAGCCUCUUUCCAGUCUAGUUCACCCUGCAUUCUGCCUUUGCAUGAAUUCUCUCAAACCACCAUUCUGAACACAUAACGUUUUUCUCAAACAAAAACAACAACCACCACAAAACUAUCCAUAGAAUAAAGUACAAAUUCUUUAGUUUAGAAGAUAAAGACAACAUUAGCUGGUCACUGGUUAUCUUUCUACUAACUGUGUGUUUCACAGGCACUUUCACAGUUUCAUAAGUAAUGCCCCAUAUAUCUCAACUCCAAAGCUGGAAAUUCAUGCUUCUGAAAAUGCCAUCACCUUAUUAUCUACCUAUCAAAAUGGUCUUUUUUCUUCUACAUCCUGCCACUGAACUCAUCUUUUAACUCAUGAAGCAUUUAUUUUGUAUACUAUAUGCCUCCCCAUUUUUAUUCAUUUAUUACUCAACUGCAUUAUGUCUCCAAAAGGAAUGUGUUAUAUUUUUAUAUGUGAUUCUCCAGAGUCUACCACAGGGACAAAUAAUAGGUGCUCAAUAAUUAUUUCGGAUAAUUAUAUAGCCUCACAGCAUGUGAACAUCCUACAAUGCUAAUUUCAUUCAACAUUCACUCAAGAGCUAAUUCUUCUGCCUAUGUUAUUUAUGUGGCACUUUUCUUGGCACUGGUAGACAAGAAAGAUAAGUUCCCUGCCUUCUGAAUCUUAUAUUUCAGUGUGAAGAAAGACAAGAAACUGGUUGAUGAUAUGAUAUAAUGUGCUUACAUAGAGUGAUGAAGAUCAUAAAGAAAACUGUAAGAUAGAAUGAGGGAGGGGAGGAGAUGAGGAGUCUAGUUUUAUCGAAGUGUUUGGGAAGAUUUUAUCUGAGGCCUUACCACUGAGCAGACACCAGAAGUGUACACAGCUUCAAUUAUGUAAAAUCAACUUGGGAGGGGGACCAUAAGCUUAAGGACUUUAAAAAGUCCCCGAGUUUAACAACUUAUUGGGAAAUAAACUAUAAUGGGAAUAUAGGAAGCCGGGAUCCAAAUGAGAAGUGAUUUACUAAAUGUAGGCAGAAAAUAAUGGUGGAAUUCAGACUAUCUACUGAAGAUUGAUGGAUGGCAUUAACUAUGAGUUUACAUAUUGGGAAACAGAGCUCUUCAGAGAAUAUCAUGUCAUGUAUCAGGGUCAGUAACAUAGGAAUUUGACUGAACUCCAUAUUCAACUAAAAGUCAACAAAAACUAUUGUAUUUAUUUCCCAAUUCCAACAGGUUAAACUUUGCUGGACAGAGCUAAAUCCCAGUAAAUUUGUAUUGUCCCUGUGUACUCUAGCAGCUAGCUUGGGACUGGGCAUAGACUAGUUCAACAAGUUCGCAAGUUUUGUUAUGCAUUCAAAUUGCCUGAGAUGCUUGUCAGAAUGCAGAGUCUGACUCAGGAGGUCUAGGGUGGCCUGGAUUUCUGCAUUUCUAACACAUUCUGAGAAUGCCAAUUUCAAUGUCUGAGUACCACAUUCAUUCGAUGAUGAUUGUUCAAUGGAUUGAUUGGCCAAUUGAUUGACUAAGCUAGGAAGAAAGGCUGACGAUCAGAAAUUUCAUUAAAUAGUACCCUAUUUGGAUCAAUUUGAGUUGAAAAUUAUUUGAUAUUUGCAAAUAAAUAUUUAAUAUAUAUUUAUUUUAGGGAAUUAAUGUGACUCAAUUAUGUAUAACAUGAUUCUGGUCAUCUUCUGGGUUAAGAGUGUUGGAGAAAAUAGAUGUUGAUGGUCCUUUUUGGUGUUAUUAUUCCUAUAAAGGUUGUUAGUAUUAUUCUGUAACUGUUUUUUUUUUUAGGUAACAGAAACUACAAGAUGAUGGUAAUGCUGCUGCUGUUGUUUUUCUAUCCUGUACCUGGGAAGCUUUUAUAAUAUACAUACAAUUGUAUCCUUCCCCUUGGCAAUAUUUUUAAUGUCCUGGAAUCUGGACUUAAAAGAAAAUUUUAUGUUUAGCU